rnacentral:rRNA from 1 species
UACGUAGGGUCGCAAGCGUUGUCCGGAAUUACUGGGCGUAAAGAGCUCGUAGGUGGUUUGUCGCGUUGUUCGUGAAAACUCACAGCUUAACUGUGGGCGUGCGGGCGAUACGGGCAGACUGGAGUACUGCAGGGGAGACUGGAAUUCCUGGUGUAGCGGUGGAAUGCGCAGAUAUCAGGAGGAACACCGGUGGCGAAGGCGGGUCUCUGGGCAGUAACUGACGCUGGAGGAGCGAAAGCGUGGGGAGCGAACAGG